rnacentral:lncRNA from 1 species
UGAAAAUCAACUAUUCAAUAUGUAAUGACUACCUACUCUGUCUUUGAUACUGUGAUAAGCACUAAGAUACUGUAACUGCCAACAUGGAGAUUCAGUCUAGUGCAAGACAUAGGUAACAAGCAAGGUCUACUAAAGUUGUGCUUGUCUUGGCCUUUUCAUCUCGACAUUUAACGGAGAAGAAUUUCAAUUGUUUGCAGUCAAUCCCACAGUGCUUUUCCAAUUUCCCUUUGUUUUCCUUGGGAUUUUCAAGAAACCUCACGUGCUCUACAUAAUUCAGUUAUGAUUCCAGAGGAACUUGGUGCCUCAAAGUGACAGAUGAUUUUUAAAAAUAUUUCAACACCUGUGUAUUAGAAGCAGCAUUGCAUUAAGAAUCAAAGAGUCCAGAGCUAGAUGCCAGGCCCUGCCAUUAAUUAGUUGUGUGACCUUCAGACACAGUGAGAAGAUGGCCAUGUGCAAGCCGGGAGGAGGGGCCUUGUCAAAAUAUGCCCAUACUGCUACCCUGAUCUCCCAUUUCCAUCUCCAGAACGAUGAGGAAACUGAGUCACAGAGAAUUUAA